UUAGGUUCAAAGUGUCCGAUCAGCCGCUGCAGGAAAAGAGACAGAAUUGAUUUCCAAAUUGGAAGAUUAUGGACUAAAAAUUCAAGAUAGAGAUCAACUAAAUGAACAAGUUGUACAACUAAAGGCGGAGAUUGCUGAACAGAAAGAGAAAGAUUCUCAAAAAGAGAUCGAACGAGAGGGUUCGGUUAAGCAGUCUCUUGAAGAUUUGGAAGCGAAGGGCAAAGAAAUUACUGCUCUAGA